GUGAGUCAUCGAAUCUUUGAACGCACAUUGCGCCCGCCAGUAUUCUGGCGGGCAUGCCUGUCCGAGCGUCAUUUCAACCCUCAUGCCCCCAGUGCAUGGCGUUGGGGAUCGGCGUGGCGUCCUCCGGGACGCUGCCGGCCCCGAAAUUCAGUGGCGGUCUCGCUGUAGCCCUCCUCCGCGUAGUAGCACAACCUCGCGGCCUGGAGCUCGGCGGUGGCCAUGCCGUAAAACACCCCACUUCUGAAAGUUGACCUCGGAUCAGGUAGGAAUACCCGCUGAACUUAAGCAUAUCAAUAAGCGGAGGA
rnacentral:misc_RNA from 1 species